CGGCUCCUACGGGAGGCAGCAGUCUAGAAAUUUGGGCAAUGGGCGAAAGCCUGACCCAGCGACGCCGCGUGAGGGAUGAAGUCUCUCGGGAUGUAAACCUCUGUUGAGGGGAACGAUAAUAACGGUACCCCUCGAGGAAGCCUCGGCUAACUCCGUGCCAGCAGCCGCGGUAAUACGGAGGAGGCAAGCGUUGUCCGGAAUCACUGGGCGUAAAGGGUGUGUAGGUGUCCUGAUGGGUCAAGUGUGAAAUCCAACAGCUUAACUGUUGAAGUGCAUCUGAAACUAUCGGGAUUGAGGACAUGAGGGGAGAGCGGAACUCGCGGUGUAGCGGUAGAAUGCGUGGAUAUCGCGAGGAAUACCGAUGGCGAAGGCGGCUCUCUAGUAUGUUUCU
rnacentral:rRNA from 1 species